AGGCUUGAGUCUUGUAGAGGGGGGUAGAAUUCCAGGUGUAGCGGUGAAAUGCGUAGAGAUCUGGAGGAAUACCGGUGGCGAAGGCGGCCCCCUGGACAAAGACUGACGCUCAGGUGCGAAAGCGUGGGGAGCAAACAGGAUUAGAUACCCUGGUAGUCCACGCCGUAAACGAUGUCUACUUGGAGGUUGUGCCCUUGAGGCGUGGCUUCCGGAGCUAACGCGUUAAGUAGACCGCCUGGGGAGUACGGCCGCAAGGUUAAAACUCAAAUGAAUUGACGGGGGCCCGCACAAGCGGUGGAGCAUGUGGUUUAAUUCGAUGCAACGCGAAGAACCUUAC
rnacentral:rRNA from 3 species